GGGGAUAUAGCUCAGUGGCAGAGCGGAUGCUUUGCAAGCACAAGGUCCUAGGUUCAAUCCCCAAUACCUCCA
rnacentral:tRNA from 1 species